rnacentral:rRNA from 1 species
UACGUAGGGAGCAAGCGUUGUCCGGAAUCAUUGGGCGUAAAGCGCGCGUAGGCGGCCCUGUAAGUCCGUUGUGAAAGUCAAAGGCUCAACCUUUGAAAGCCGAUGGAUACUGCAGGGCUAGAGUCCGGAAGAGGCGAGUGGAAUUCCUGGUGUAGCGGUGGAAUGCGCAGAUAUCAGGAGGAACACCCAUAGCGAAGGCAGCUCGCUGGGACGGUACUGACGCUAAGGCGCGAAAGCGUGGGGAGCGAACGA